rnacentral:lncRNA from 1 species
CAGCAUAUGGAGAUUCCCAGGCUGGGUGUCAAAUUGGAGCUGCAGCUGCAGGCCUAUGCCAUAGCCACAGUGACAAAGGACCCAAGCUGCAUCUGCAAACUACACCACAGCUCACGGCAAUGCCAGAUCCUUAACCCACUGAGGCCAGGGAUUGAACCUGCAACCUCAUGGUUCCUAGUCGGAUUCAUUUCGGCUGCACCAUAAUGGGAACUCCAGCAUUGUUUUCUUAAGUUUCUCCCAAGGCAAAAGAAAUAAAAGGGGAAAAAAACCCACUAAAACAAAAAAAGAAAUCAUACCUAAUCAAACUUAGAAGUUUUGCACAGCAAAGGAAACCAUAAACAAAAUGAAAAGACAACCUAUGGACUAGGAGAGGGAAAAAAAAACCAACACCAAUUUCGCGGCUCAGCAGUCAACAAACCCAACUAGUAUCUAUGAGGACGCGGGUUUGAUCCCUGGACUUGCUAAGUGGGUUAAGGAUCUGGUGUUGCUAUGAGCUGUGGUGCAGUUGGCAGACACAGCUCGGAUCCUGUGCUGCUGUGGCUCUCCACCCGGGGCUGGGGAGAUUGGGACACCUGCAGCCCUCAGAGCUGAAUAUCCCCACAGUUGCUGUGCAGUGGGCUCAAUAUCACAACUAAAAAUAGCAUUAUCUGUCUGCAGGCCUUUCCUUCAACACUUGACUUCAGAGGACCUACACACAGAGCUGUUAUGCUGAGAUGGCAUCACUACUGCCCACAGGUGCCAGGCUGCUAAGGAGCAGCUCAGCCACACGGAGGCCACACAGAGGCUUGCUGCAGACCAGGCUUGGCCAGGUGACCCGGAAAACAGAAUUACAUCAAACCUUUCAAGACUCCUCUGAGGAGUGAAGCAUCAGCUACAUUACUGCCAACCCCAGACGAAGUUCAACUCCUUCCAAACAGGGGCGACAUUACUUAAACCUGGAUAUUUAACACAAGGGUGAGUGAGCCUCUUUCCUGGGUGGCAGCAUCUCCAAGAUGCUCCCCAGAGCCGUGCCCCAUGCCAGGUAAGUUGGUUCAGCCAGGGACCUCUCAAGAAGCUGCCUGUGCGCCUAACGAUCUCAUUACAAGGGCUUGCUCCUUCCUCAAUACUUAAGCCAACAAUUACAGUUGUUUAGCCUUCCCCCACGUUGUGAUCCUUUCAUUAAGCUCUCAGUGCUGCAGGGAAGACAUGUUCCCAAAAGGAAGCUGAACUGAAAGGGCGAACUUCCCAACCUGCACAGCAGGCUAGAGGAGAAGGGGAUGUCAAGAGUGUUCCUGCCUCCCACCCCUGCCUCCUGGUGGGCUGGGGGGGCACCUGUGAGGGAGUUGGUGCCAGCAGUCCUUGCUCCACUCCGGCACAGGUCUCAAAGAUUCACCUGCUUGCUAGUGUUCUGGCUUUUCUGGCCGGUAUCCUACCGAGGCCGGUCUUCUUCCCGUCUGCAUUGGGAGCAGUGCCUGGGCUACAGAGAAGCAGGUGGGUACUCACAGGGAUUCUUUGCCAAAACUGACCCUGGUCCAGAAAGGUUGGAGCAGGAAAUGAGGGGAAGGGAGUGGCUUGAAGUUCAUGGACAAGAGGCCUUCCUAACAAGAAGUAAGUCAAUCAGGCAGGAAGGAGGCAGUGCCAGGCCAGGCAGCUGGGUCUGUGUCUCGCCAGCCUUGCCACCUAACUCCCAGGGAACCCACGUACAUUGUUUCACUUUUCUCAUUUUGUUUCUUGGUCUGUAAGAUGGGAACUGUGAGAUGACCUCACUCAGCUGCACUGAGGACUGAACUAAAUGAGACCAGGCAAGCAUGCUGUGUGGUGCACGUUCAGUGCUACUGUGGCAGGAAGCCCAAGGCCGAAGACUGCCUGCCUCUCUCUCCUGGAACGAGGUGCGGGGCAGAGCUGCCCCCUCCAGGCCUGUCUUCCUGACAAGUGGCACAACCAUGGGAGCUGCACACCCAUCAGCCGACCAGGUCUACUGCCUGCUGGUGGCUGCCAGCCUAGCAAAGAACCUACCAGAGCGACCUUUCUCUCUCAGUCCGGGGGUGUGAGGGGAAGUAAUUGACAGGACUGCCCUCAAUUCCAGCAAGGGACUAUUCCUCCUAAAGAUCACCACAAGCAUUCACUGAGGCCAGGCACCUUCUCAGGUGAUAUCAGGAUGAGGUACCAGGAGGUCCUGAGUCAUGUGUCUGCUGCCAUCAUGACGCCCUGGCUCACUCCACCAGGGCACAUUCAUCAGCCACUGUGGAACCAUCACUGAGCGGUGACUUGCACCUGCAGCCAUGACUCAAAUCUGUGUGGGCCUCUGACUCAUCGGAGCCAUUUCCCCAGGUGAUGACAAAGGAUGGCAACUCCAAAGAGAACACUCUGCCCUCCUUUCCUGGCCCCUCGCCCCUCUCUCACUAACAGUCUAGUUGGGGAAGGUCACACCCUCACUGCUUCUCUGCUGCCUGGUCCCCCGCCCUCCAAAUUCCCUCAGAGUAAGUCCCGUGAGCUCCCUGGUGAUCAGGACCAGGUUCUGCCCCUCAUCUGCAGUUCCCGCAGUUCCCCAGUGAGUAAGCCUGCAAAUUCAUUCUCACCACUCAGGACACAGAAAUAUCCCCUUCUCACUCUUUGCAACUUCUCUCCAUCUAGUUCUGCUACACCUGCAACUAUAUUCAAAUGAUUUUUGUCUCAUGAGCCACCACCAAUCAUUUAUGUAACCAUCCAUUCAUUUACUGAGUGUCUUUUAUGUGUGAGGAACUAUGUGAGACACUAUGGGGAGAAAGAUAAAAAUGGAACAACCUCUAUUUUCAGGAAGCUCGCACCAGAAAUACAUAGGGAGCACAGCCCUAGAAGGCUUAUGGGAUUCACAGGAUUGGGACUAGCUAUGAUUCUUGCCUGCAAAAUCUUUAUCCUUUGGGCCAGUGAAGAGCACUGUAAGAAGUGUGAGGCCUCAGUGUGGUGUCACACACCCCCACACCCUCCCCAGCCCUAGUCAGACACUCCAUCCAUCCCAACACCCACCCAGUGCUUGUCCCCAUGAUGCCACUGGGCAUGUUCUUGCUCUACUAGGUGGGCUGGCUUGGCUCCGUGUAGCUAAGUUGCAAAAGACCAUGUUCCUACUUUGACAGCUGUGGCCAAAUUUUGCAAAAGUCACUUCCUCAGACUGUGUAUGUGUGUAUAUGCUAUCUCAUAGGCCUGACCUCUCACCCGAGCCCCAGGCUCAAAUAUCCUACUGUCUACUUGACAUUUCCACUCAGAGGUAACAGCACUCUGCAUCUCAAGUUCAACACGUCUAACACCAAACACAAGAUGUUCUUCCCACAUCCCACCUGUUCCUCAUCUAGUCUUUCUCAUCUCAGUUAAUGGCACCACCUUCCACCCAGAUGCUCAGGCCAAAACAAUCUAGGUGUGACCCUUGGUUCACCUUUCCUUCUAUCCUACAUCCAAUGUAUCAGGGAAACCUGUGGCCGCAACCUUCCACGGCAACCUCAAUCCAGCCACUUCCCUCUCCUGGGCUGCCUUCUGCAUCCACACCACCAUUUCUUGCCUGGGCUGCCAGAGUAACCUCUUCUCCAGCUGACUGCUUCUAUUCUUGCCCCCCUAUAAUCCAUUCACUACUACAACCAGAGUGAUCUUUAAAAAAAGUAAAUUAGGUCACAUCGGCCCCGACUAAACCUUCCCAGCUCAAUGGUCUUAUGAUAAAAUCCACCUUCUAAUCAGAGCCUGUCUUUAAGACCCUAUCAUGGAGUCUUAGGGUCUUUUACGAGGCAACUGAAUAUGACUAGCACCCAUGAGGACGAAGGUUUGCUCCCUGGCCUCACUCAGUAGGUUAAGGAUCCGGCGUUGCCAUGAGCUGUGGUGGAGGUGGCAGACGCGGCUCGGACCUGGCGUUGCUGUGGCUGUGGUGUUGGCCAGCAGCUGUAGCUCUGAUUCGACCCUUAGUCUGGGAACCUCCAUAUGCCACAGGUGCGGCCCUCAAAACACAAAAGCCGAAAAAAAAAAAACCACAAAAACGCAGGUCUACUCAAACGCAGGGGCCUGGGGUGAGGACAGGGCUUUGGCUAUCGGUCACCACACAGCACUGUGAGGUACGGUAGUGUCAGGGGAGGAACAGACUGCCACAGGUACUGCGCCUAGAAUCAUGGAGAGCUUUUAAAAAUACUGAGGCCAAGGCCUGCCCCACACUCUGAUUCGAGUAGGUCGAACGACCCAGGUCUCCAGAUUUUUAAAAGCGUCCUAGAACUCCGAGGGGUACGUUGUUAAGAGCACGGAGCCGUCCACGCGCACGUGUGGCCGAGGGAACGGCGCGCGCAUGCGCCGGGCCCGCCACCGGCCCGCCCUGCCUUGUCCUGCC